GUUCUUCCGCCAGCGCCCAUCGUGAAGACCACAGUUUCCUGUCGCGUGGAUGUGUUUCCUCUCUGGCCAUUGCCAUCCGCCCAAAUCUACAGACAUCCCGCAUGUUCCCGGGCUCGUCUCCCCAAUACAGGGCACCAAGCAUCCUACCAAGGCGAAUCCAUUGACCAGGAUUUAAGUUGAGACUCCCCCAGGACCCCGGGUGCAGCAUCUGGGUCCCCCUGCCCCGCCCUGCCUUGCGCCGCAGCCGCUUCCGUUGUCCUGCCAGGCUGUAGACUGCGCAGCCCUCCUGGAGACAGAUGGAAGCUCCUUGGGUCGACAGAUUACAGCUUCUGGAACCCCCUACUCCCUUCAACUCCGAGAUGGACACCCACUGUCCAGGGAGAGGAUGCCUGGAAAUAACAGCUGGGAUCUACAGUGGCCAAAGAGUUGUCUCCGUCUUGCUACAUCGACAAACUGGUGCUCCUGAGUGAGGAUUGUGCCCUGGGAUGGGGGAUUCAGUUUCUUCAUUUAUAGUUGGAAGUGGGUGAAGUGCCAGGAGCGACGGUACACUCCAGAGUGCUGUGCCCUGAUGGGCCUUUGAGUGGCCAGUGCAGUGGAUCAUCAGCCCUGUCUCCCAAGAGCUCCAGUCCCUUCUCCGGAGAGGAAGUGGGUCCACUGGCAGCUCAGGAGGCCAUAGCAGGAUUGUCACGUGUGCUCAACAGUCCUCCUCGGCUUUCCAGAAGAGGCUGGAACAGGGCCCUUGAAGAUGUUUGUGGACAUCAGAGGGCCAAAGACGACACAAAGUGAAACUGGAGACACCGCCCCCCCUUGGCAUCAUGAAACUGCCGAUGUUACUGGCUCAUGCAUGGGAGACACCAGCAUACAAAGUCUUGACACCAACACCUCAGAGGGCUGUGUUCUGUCCCCGUGACCAUCAUCUAGUGCCUGGAAAGACUAGUGACAAGAACUUGUUGCCAACUUCCUAUUACCUCCCUAACAGUUGUGCAAUAAACCCCAUAGGUUAAUUCAGUCUGCCUUUUAAA
rnacentral:lncRNA from 1 species